AUGGAGAGUUUGAUCCUGGCUCAGGACGAACGCUGGCGGCGUGCUUAACACAUGCAAGUCGAACGAGAAGAGAUGAGAAGCUUGCUUCUUAUCGAUUCGAGUGGCAAACGGCUGAGU
rnacentral:rRNA from 1 species